GUUCCUCCCAAGAUGCCACCCGCUUCAUUCAAGUGUCUGGCAGCACUGUGUUCCUGUUAGAGCCACCAGCACAAGCACCAGACGAUGCUGAUCCAGGUGAAGGCCCCAGUGCAGCAGCAACAGCACAUGAUGGAGACGAUGAUGAGGAGGAGACCAUCUCUCUGGAUUCCAGAAGGCAUGAGGACCCAGAUGCUAUACAGUGGGAAAACCAGCCUGGCAACAUAGUGCGUAUUAAUAAAAGGACACCACAUCCUGCCAAAUUCCAGCUGCGCUAAUUGUAUUGUGUUCACAGAGCUCACAAGCUAUCAGAAAGUUGUAUGGCAACCACCUCCGGCGCCAAAUAGAACUGGCAGACAUAGACAUUCAGUACAAGAAGAAAAAGAUGGAAAAUCUUGC
rnacentral:lncRNA from 1 species